GCCCAGAUUCAACUCAAAAAGUUGGACAAGAAAAAGAAAAAAAAGCCAGCUGAUCCAAAAGAAAAUCCAGUCUAUUCUGAGGUCAAGACAGGGAAGGCCACAGCAGGAACUGGACCUGUUGAUGUGACCUAUGCUGAGGUUGACCUUAAACAGAAGGCCAAAGCCAAGAAGAAGAAAGAAACAGAAACCCCACCUGAGGCAGAUUCGGUCUAUUCUCAAGUGAAGCCAGUCACAGCCCCAGGACCUUGAGGGGGGCAGGGAUGGACGGA